GCCAGGGAUGGAAUCCACAUCCUAAUGGACACUGUGCUGAGUUCUGAACCCACUGAGCCACAACAGGAACUCCUAAGCAGUAUUCUUAAUACUGCAUAUCAGGUUACAGCGUGUUUAAUGAAGAGUAAAUCAGCUCUUUACGUGGCAUUUCAGAUGGCCACAUCAUCUAGAAUGCCUAUGAACAGAGACUGCAAAGUGUGACACGUUCCCCUGCACCUCCUGGCUUUGCAAGACCCCCUGAGUGUUUACAUCUUCCUCAGCGAGAAGAUAAUGACCCGAGGACUCAGAUGAUGGUUAGCAUUUUUGGCACUGAAGUAUCUUUUAAUUAAGGUAUGUGCAUUGUUUUCUUACACAUGUUGCACACUUUAUUAGAAUAUGGUAUCAUGUGUACAUAACUUUUAUAUGUACUGGGCAGCUGAAAAAAUUCUGUUACUCUUUAUUGUGAUAUGUGCUGUAUUGCAGUGGUCUGAAAUUGAACCUUAGCAUCUCUGAGGCUGGCCUGGAUUAGGACUAUAAUAGCAUGAAAAAGCCCUAAAAGGAUUCUUUCAGAAAGUUCUUUGUGGAAUCUUUAGCCCUCAUCUUUUAAAUGGACUUAAAGUAUUUUGCUUGUUGGUUUUUAAAUGAGUAGGUUCCUCUGCUAUAAUUUCUACUUUUUGUUUCUUACAAAUCAAGUUUCACAAGGUAUAACUAGAAACAGGCAAAAAUCUCUAUUUCACCCUCUAAAAGUUCCUGUCUUUGGUAGCAGGAUUACUGUCAGUAAUGAAUAAACUGCAUGUGAUCUAUGCAGCCCAAGCAAUAACUGCACAAACUGCUAUGUAAACAGAAGGUGUUCAUUCAGCAGUGUGCCAAACAGCACACAAAUGGCGCUCCUGAUUGUUUCCCUGCUGAGCGUGAAGGAAGGGUGAUGCUUGCAGGCAGCCCUUCAUUUAGAGAUGUCAGUGGGUCAAUAGUGACACAGGCUGGCCCUGCCCAGGAAAGGUCGCCUGUGGAAAAUCCAAAGUUAGAAUCAUGUUGAGAGAUAAGUAGUGGAACGAGAUUACAAAAUGAAAUCCUCAGUAACAAAUUUAGCUCUGCGCUUUAGUGAGUAACUGUUCGAUCUAAAUGGUUCUUCUUAUAUACUCAAUAUAUUGAAGUAUAGUUGAUUGAUGUACAGUGUUGUGUGUUCAUUUCUGCUGUACAGCACAGUGACCCAGUUAUAUGUAUUAUUAUAUGCAUUCUUUUUUUGGGGGAUUCUUUUCCAUUAUGGUUUAUCAGAGAGUACUGAAUAUAGCUCCCUGUGCUAUACACAGUAAGACCUUGUUUGGCAGACUUUUAUAGCUUGGAUUUGUAAAAUAGCCAGUGGUACCUGGAAUUUUAUGAAGGUUCCUCAUUGUUUUACCCUUUCCCCCAACUUAAAGCUUUGUGUUAUUCCAGCUUUGUGUUAUUCCCAUAAAUAAGUAUGAAGCUAGUCAGGCAAAUUACAUACAGGUUAGUGGCACUUUUUGUAAAAUACCACCCGGUCCAGUUAUGAUGUUUUCUCAAAUCGCUCUUGCUUCAGAGAGUUCUCGCAAAUGAAACAUGUAGCACUUAUAAACUUGAUUUCCAUACAAAUGUAGAAUCUUCGUGAUGCAUACUAUUUAAAAAUGACACCAUACCGAAGACAAAGAUAGUAUUUACGUAUGGUAAAAAGGCAAGUGAACGAAGCUAUAAUUUUAUUUCAUUUCUCUUAAUACAUCCACAACUAUUUCCACCUAAAUAGAUCUUUAAAAUAAGCAUACACAAGUAUUGACUAUUAUCUACAAAUAUUUAUUGUAACACUUGAAUAGAACUACAGGAAGCCCUUGGCACUGAUAGAAAAUAUUGAUCCACUGUUAGGUUACAAAAAUUUAUACAUAGCAAAAUUUAAUGCUCUUUACAUAAAAAAUAUUAGACUACUUAAACAAAACGUUCAGGAAUUCCUGGUAAUAGCUACCAGAAUUAGAAAAGUAAAAUUAGGCUUUAGACACUGCCUCUGCUAGAACACUGGACUCUAACAGCACCUCCACUGCUGGAAAAAAUAUUUAAGUCUGUCAUGCAACAGGAAAACAAAACACCAAGCCAUUCUGGAACAACUUUCUACACAGAAGAGAACUUCUCCCAAGUAAUUAAAAAAAAAAAAAAGUCAAGAUCCAAAUAGGCAUUUUUUAGGCAUUAACAACAACAAAAAGAAUCCAAAUGAAACAUUAUACUUGAUGUUCAGUUUUAAUAGCAUCUGAUAAAGGUAUGCUUCCUUUCAUUUUAACACAUUUCUGCACAUGUAUAUGUUGUAAAAUCCAGGAAACAGCCAAACCACAAGUUAAUUCUUAACAUGAAUAUACAUAGUUAACCCUAUAUUAUGCAGCCCCUUUUAAAAAGCACUGAUGCACCCCAACAGUUAUAUGUAUCAUUUCAUAAAGAACAACACAAAGUUUACCAUCACUAAUACCCAAUACCUAUUCACUUAAUGUUCUGAAACACAAUGAUUUAGAAGGCAAGUUUCUUUUGAAGAUGGCUUAAACUCAAGCAGAUUUUUUUUUGUUUUUCUGAUUUUUUCUGAUUUUUUUUUUUUUUUUUUUUGCCGAACAUUGAAUUUUAUUAUUCCCAGGAAACUAAGAUUUAGGUAAGAAAAAGUGAAAUAAAUACCAACCCUACUUAAAGUAUUCAAGUCUAUAAAAGUAGGAGGUCUGUGGUCUAGUUGUAAUUAAGUUGUAGAUAGUUGGUAUGAAACUGUAAACUCACUAUUCAGACCACAUAAAAAUGGUUGAGAGUGGUGGUCAUUUUAACAAGGUAACACUUCUUAAGGAAAAAAAAAAACAUUGGUGGAACAAAAUUUUAUGAAGGAUUUGGGGUAGCCUGUUGUAACUUAAGUUCUUAGAAAUUUAAAGCAAAUACUCAUUAAGGCAGAGCUGACAUUGAGCUGACAUUGCUUUCUCAAGAAGAAUGAUGACAAUUGGGUCACUUUAUUACAAUGAAACCUAUUAUAAAAUUGAUUCUGGACAGCCUGACACAGUUGGAAUCCAGCUUUUUCCAUGGUAGGUGUAGUAGAAUUACUCUAGCAGGCUCGCUUGAGCAUUCUUGGAAAAAAGAUUUCUGAGUAGUUCAGGAAAUUAAUAUGUCCUGGACUGGGGGAAUCAGCCAAAUUUUUUUAAAGGUCCAUCGUAAGGCUCACGUAUCCCUGAGCCAGUUUAAUAAACGUCAGCUGUGAGAACUGGAACGUCACCUCAACUGUAUUUUAUUCCCUAUUUAGAUACGUAGAUGUGAGGACAGAUGGCAUCUGUGAACUGGUGGCCAUUUCGCUUGAUGCUGGCGCACCACGGGCCCGUGUCAAGGUCUAUGCCAUCUUCUGCGGGCGUCUUGGCCGAUUUGCUCUAGGGAUGGAUGCGAACAUGCCACAAGGUUCAAAAGGAUGAACCAUCAUUUUGUCAAAGUGUUGCCUUUUAAAAUGGCUCACGUGACACCUCCGAUAUCUGUUCUAAAGGAAAAGAUUUACGUACUGGAAGGUUUUCCUAGAAACACAUCCUGGCAGCUUGAGACAGACAAUGAAGUGUUGGGACUGGUACAUGAGUUUGUUGGGUGGGGAACACAUCUGGACUGCAGAGCAGCUGUCUGGUGAUUUGUCAGAGCUGUCAACUCGUCGGCUGAGACCCUCUGGCAGACCUUUAUGUGUAAGAAUUGAGUUGUUCUUUUGACCGAGACUGGAUAUCUUGCAGUUCCUGUUCUUCCUUUGCUUUGAUAUCCUGGUAAGCCUGCAUUUUGCUUGCAUCCUUUAAGUAAGCCCAGUUAGAAGACAGUAUCAUGAGGAAGUGGAUCUGGAAGAGAAGGGUGAGCAUGAUGGCUAGUGAGCAUGUGAGGAGGCAAAGCGAGCUGCGAGCCGGAUUAGACGCUGCGGACUGAAAGGGGAGAGGGUUAUUCUGUAUUAAUACCCACCCUGCUGUCAGGGGCAUCGGAGACGGAGCGCAUGCUCUACCAGGGCGCUUCACAUUGAGAGGCUGAAGAAAGGUUAGUACACAAUGAACUCAGAAAAAAAUGGUCAACGUUAUUGUUCAGAAAAGGCAAAAAUGAAGUACGUACGAGAGGGUAACUUUUUACCAUUUUGAGAGCAACUUUAAGGACAGGCAGAAGUUCAGAAAGACGUUGUAUGGUUAUUUAAGUAAGUGUCAUGCAAAGAUCUUUCCUAUCUCUGGACAAAAAUCCAUUCCCCCAAAGGCCUGAAAGUGUGAACAAUGUUUAAGUAAGUAAUAUCAAACUACAUAUUUAACGUGGAAAAAUUAAGUGAAGGUCAUAACCCAAAAUAAGAACUAUAAGCAAAGCAUGCAGUCCCUGUGUUAACACAUUUUGAGCAGUGAAACUACAUUUUUCAUUUAUAACUGCCAUGAUUUCAUUUCACAAAAGGUCAAAAUCUUUAUAGUGGAUGAGGCAAGUGCGUCUUUCCUGUUCAUUUUCCUCAUCUUUUCCUGCAAAAUCUACAACACAGGUUCCUUCUAUUUCAUAUUUCCUUCUCAACAUAUUUGAGACUUUCAGAUCCAGGCACAAUUUCUCUCCCCAUUAAAAUCUUACUAAAAUCUGACGUGCAGUUUGAGAAGUGGCUGUGAGGAAUCAGUUACUACUCACCCUAACUCAUCACUUGGAUGUUAAUUCUCUGGGCUCUGCCAGGAGUUUGUAAAACCCUUUUCUCAGAGAUAACUGAUGAAUUAUUUUCUUUCAAAUUUUUGGACAGUCCGCUUAUUUGAGGGGCAUGCAUUUGGUAGCAAGCCAGGUAAUGAUAAAAAAAAGAAAAUGUGUCCAGCAAAUUUAAAAUACAUUUGUAAAUUACUUUCCAGAUGGAGUCUGACAAAACUAAGUCCAGAUUAAAAUAGUUCUCUUCCAUUGCAUCUUCAGGACUUGUUUUCAUCACUGAAACAGGUUACCAAGCAAAACCAACGGACAAGGUAAGGAUACCCACGUUUGAAUACUUCACUUAGAGAUACUGCUCCAAGUUAAGAAAACUUUUUCAGUGGAUGCUCACCAGUGUCAACAAGUAACUGAAUCCUUUCCAAAAGGUGGAAAUAGCCAGAUCUCAUUAUUCUGUAGUCCAUGUACGGUAAGUCAUUGUAUUAAUCUACCAUGCGACGUAAGUUGAUUAGAGCAAUUUACAAAUUACUGAAAGAAAACUGCAGGAACCUAGGCUCUGCUUUAGUCUAUGGGUCAGGGACAUUUCAUGCUACCAAGUAGAGCUCUCUAAAGCUCCUCAUGGGCCCUUAUGCAUCUAGAACUUAGUGCAGCAGUCUUCCCGACUCUUAAACUUCAAAACCGCAUAGUUAUACGUAGUAGCCAUCAUGUAGAUCAGCUGGUGGAAGAGAACAGAACAGGACAGUAAGAUACAGGCAGUGGGGGCCGGCGCCCUGACUCUCUACACACGGGUGGGAAUGGGCCAGCUCCAAGCCUAAGGUGCUGCUUUUGCCAAUUUAUAAUUACAACAGGAGAUUUUCACACCUAGCACACACACAUCUUUUUGUUGUUUCAAAUAUACACAUCCUCUGCUCUCCCCUUAAUAUGCUAAUGAAAAAGACUCCGAUGUGUUUAAAGCACACCCGAGAGCUGGGUCAGCAGCCUGCGAACAAUGAGGCUAAAAGCCCCGUGUGCCCUUGUCUUUGCCUCACUGUCCCCUCCGCCGCUUUUUAGUCCUCUCCUGGCCUGUGGCUCAGCUGGGAAAACAGGGGUUCUUUCUACGGCUGGAAUGGGUAGGGAGGAUGUCACGGUUGGAAAAGCUGGCAAGGACUCGGUGCUGAGCACAGGCAAUUUCCCCCUCCCUCAAUUUCCCCCUCCCUCUACCCAUCAGAUGUCUGGAAACCACAAGCCACACCUGCCCAAGUUACACAUACACACAUGCCAACAUCCACCUGUGUGGUUGCAGCUUCCUUAUUUGUGAAUUUGCCUCAGGGCUAACCCUUCUAAUUUCCAAGUCAGGCCUCCUGGCACUGCCAUGGCCACACAGAUGUGCAACGUGGGGAAAAGUCUGCGUCCACCACGGCCACACACGCCUUCUUGUGGCAGCUCUCAGACUAUAAACAACAGUGUCCUUUUUGCAGUCUAUUUAGUGCCGUGUGUGCUUGCAUUUCUGUGAUUGUGUUACUAGAGUCCUGAAGGGCUGGCCAGUGUUCCUACAUGCAGGAAGGAUGCAGGGGCCCUGGCGGAGAAAAUACCUGUGUUGAACGAGCUUCAGUCAGGUUGAAGUUACAGGGCCGCUGGCUGUGAGUUCACUGUUCAUGAAUUGACAAUAGACACUAAAUAAGGUGUCUUUAAACAGAAGCAAACGGAUGGAUGCAUAUUCUUGUUUGGACCAAAAACAUUGUGACCCUGAGGCUGUGCUUCCCCUGGAAGCAGUCGCCCGGUACUCGCUUGCUUGAGGAUUUGAGGAGACCCUAUGCAAUAGAAGUUCUGUACCUAACAAGGGCCCCUGCCCAUGUAGGAAUGUGUAUAUAUGAGGUUUUCCUGGAAAUGAUUUCUUGGCAAAGCAGUGAGUAAUGCCUCACAGAACAUCAGUCCACAGUUGAAGCCAUGAAAGGAAGGGCUGAGUGUCAGCUGUGCCCCACGCCAUCCUAGUUACCCGUGUUUAAGUGUUGGAACCCUCUCUUCCCACAGAAUCCACAUUUCAUCCCCUACCAUCUAAGCCAAGCCCACCACCUGGUACUUCCUGCAGUCUGGACAAGCGAAAUACUUCGGGACUGCAAAUCCAAAUGGAAACUUGGCGAGCUGCUGGCCCUCCCCAGAGAGUGGGGCCGACACGGUCCAUGCCAUCUCUCACUGUACCCUUGACUCCCCGCUCUGCAGUGACCACGUCCACUUGGCUGCUGCUCUUCCUGCCAUUAAUGCUGAGGUAUGUGCUUAAAUAUGAAAUACAGCUUAAGUUCUGCUUCUCCUAGGAACUAAGGAAGGAGAAUUUUUCAAAAUUAUUAUUUAUUCCUUCCAUCUUUGCUAGGGACCAACAGUAAGUCUUUCUGCUUCAGCACAAUGGGAAACGAUGAAACCAGUGAUUUCAAAUAGAGAUUUUAAAAAAAGAUCACUGAUGACCAAAAAGUUUAUAGUGAAUAUUUAAGAAAGGGAAAAUGAUACGCAUCUUGAUAUUCCUUUACAAAUCCUUUACCAAUCCACCUGAGUCUUCCUUUUCAAUCUGUCAUAAAGAACAGUGUGCUUGAACCUUCAUCUUUAGGAGAAGAGAUGCCUCUGAUGGGUGCUUUUAGCUAAGUUUUUAUAUUAUGUUUUAAGACAAGAUGCUGAAGAUAAGGCACAUGGGAAAAUCAGCAAAAAUAAAGUAGUUCUGUCCCCCAAAGCUCCUUUCUCCCCACAGCUGUUUCUGCCAAGGACAGGCUUUUUUUUUUUAACCACCCUGGCCAGAGGCACCUGACCUAAACCGCCUUCUCUCACUCAGGGGGGUAAGUCGAGUCUACAGUGCAUGACAAGAGCGGCACCAGUCCCCUGUGUGGUUUCUCAGAAUGAACCAACCUUAGCUGCCUCAGGCGAGGAUCCCACUCACUAGAAAAUAGAUUUGAACAGGUUUCCAACAGCCAGCGUCUACAGACUGCGUCUGAUGACUUUAAAACACACCUGGAUUUUAUGUUGUAUUUGCCAGUAUUAAAGCCAUUUCUCAUUUUAAAAAGACCUGAUUGGAAGAGGCGGAUGUGCAACUGAACUGGACUCUACAGUUUUGUUCCAUCCCGGAAAUGAAAUGGAAGGAAAAAUACUUUUGAUUGACCUGCACUAUAAAGCAGCUUUGCAUUCUACAAAGUGUCUCUUCCUAAAUACUUCACUUGAAAAUAUAGUAAUUUUGCAUGACACUUUUUAGGAACUAAGAGCCUACGUGCUGUCUCCAUCCAGAAAACGGAGCACAUUGAGUGGAAGGGCGGGAACACAUCCUGCCACUACAUCGCCGCGCCCGCAGUAACGCAAGUGCAGACGCAGGCAGCGCGCGCAGAGUAACAGCGAUGGGGGGGGGGGGUACCGUAUUGCCGGAUGUCCACACAGAUCUGCUCCACCCCGGCUGUCCCGUUGCUCUGGGGGGCCUUGAUGACUUCACAGGUGGACCAUAUGUUGUAGAACAUGAACACCGGCACCGCGGAGAAACCGAACACGCCCAGCCAGGCCACUCCCAGCACGUAGGUGAGGAAGACAAACUAAGGAGGAGAAAGAACUGUCACCAAUCUGGGCCAGGCCCACCCCCGCGAGGCCUGACGGCACAUUUCUGGCCAAGGGUGCAGCGGGGGAAGGCCAUCAGAGCACCCCCUGGAUCCCGGCAGCGACCAGGCCCAGAGCCCUGGCGGCGGCGGCGGCGGCGGAGGGAAGGGUCUGCGCGGUGCUCGCCCACCUGCUGCUGGGGGCAGUCUCUGGAGGUGCAGCAUCGGACUGUUCUCCUUCCUUCCUGACCUGCUGACCGUCCAUCUUCAGCGAGCUCAGAAAAGCUGGGGGCUUGAGAUUUUCAGGGUGCCUGCCCACCCCCUCACCCCAGGAGGCGUGGAGCCACAGCCCUCACUGCUCCUCGCGUG